ACUUAGUGCAGGGAUGAUGGUAGAGGUGAAUCAGUGCAGGGAUGAUGGUAGAGGUGACUCGGUGCAGGGAUGAUGGUAGAGGUGACUCUGUGCAGGGACGUUGGUAGAGGUGACUCAGUGCAGGGAUAAUUGUAGAGGUGACUCGGUGCAGGGAUGAUGGUAGAGGUGACUCUGUGCAGGGAUGAUGGUAGAGGUGACUCGGUGCAGGGAAGAUGGUAGAGGUGACUCUGUGCAGGGAUGAUGGUAGAGGUGACUCGGUGCAGGGAUGAUGGUAGAGAUGACUUAGUGCAGGGAUGAUGGUAGAGGUGAAUCAGUGCAGGGAUGAUGGUAGAGGUAACUCUUUGCAGGGACAUUGGUAGAGGUGACUCGGUGCGGGGAUGAUGGUAGAGGUGACUCGGUGCAGGGAUGAUGGUAGAGGUGACUCGGCGCAGGGAUGAUGGUGGAGGUGACUCGGUGCAGGGAUGAUGGUAGAGGUGACUCUGUGCAGGGACGUUGGUAGAGGUGACUCGGUGCAGGGAUGAUGGUAGAGAUGAAUCGGUGCAGGGAUAAUUGUAGAGGUGACUCGGUGCAGGGAUGAUGGUAGAGGAGACUCUGUGCAGGGACGUUGGUAGAGAUGAAUCGGUGAAGGGAUGACUGUAGAGGUGACUCGGUGCAGGGAUGAUGGUAGAGAUGAAUCAGUGCAGGGAUGAUGGUAGAGAUGAAUCAGUGCAGGGAUGAUGGUAGAGGGAUGAUGGUAGAGGUGACUCGGUGCAGGGAUGAUGGUAGAGGUGACUUGGUGCAGGGAUGAUGGUAGAGAUGAAUCGGUGCAGGGAUGAUGGUAGAGAUGAAUUGGUGCAGGGAUGAUGGUAGAGGUGACUUGGUGCAGGGACGUUGGUAGAGAUGACUCUGUGCAGGGAUGAUGGUAGAGGUGACUCUGUGCAAGGACGUUGGUAGGGGUGACUCAGUGCAGGGAUGAUGGUAGAGAUGAAUCGGUGCAGGGAUGAUUGUAGAGGUGACUCGGUGCAGGGAUGAUGGUAGAGGUAUGAUGGUAGAGGUGACUCGGUGCAGGGAUGAUGGUAGAGAUGAUUCGGUGCAGGGAUGAUUGAAGAGGUGACUUGGUGCAGGGACGUUGGUAGAGAUGAAUCGGUGCAGGGAUGAUUGUAGAGGUGACUCGGUGCAGGGAUGAUGGUAGAGGUGACUCUGUGCAGGGAUGAUGGUAGAGGUGACUCGGUGCAGGGAUGAUGGUAGAGGUAUGAUGGUCGAGGUGACUUGGUGCGGGGAUGAUGGUAGAGGUGACUCGGUGUAGGGAUGAUGGUAGAGGUGACUCGGUGCAGGGAUGAUGGUAGAGGUGAAUAUGUGCAGGGAUGAUGGUAAAGGUAUGAUGGUAGAGGUGACUCGGUGCAAGGACAAUGGUAGAGGUGACUCGGUGCAGG
ensembl:lncRNA